UUGGCUUAGAAGCAGCCAUUCCUUUAAAGAGUGCGUAAUAGCUCACUAGUCAAGCGACUCGGCGUCGAUAAUAAGCGGGCAUAAGCUGUUUGCCGAAGCUGUGGGAAUGAAAAUUCGGUAGGGGAGCAUUCCAGUUGCAUUGAAGGUGUCGCCGCGAGGGAUGCUGGAGCGGCUGGAAGCGAAACUGUAGGCAUGAGUAACGAUAAGAAGGGUGAAAAACCCUUCCACCGUAAACCCAAGGGUUCCUGAUCAACGCUAAUCGG
rnacentral:rRNA from 1 species